rnacentral:rRNA from 1 species
UUUAAUUCGACGCAACGCGAAGAACCUUACCCAGGCUUGAACUGCGAGUGACCCCUCCCGAAAGGGAGCUUCCGCAAGGACACUCGUAGAGGUGCUGCAUGGCUGUCGUCAGCUCGUGUCGUGAGAUGUUGGGUUAAGUCCCGCAACGAGCGCAACCCUUGUUUGCUGUUGCCAUCAGGUAAUGCUGGGCACUCUGCAGAGACUGCCGGUGAUAAACCGGAGGAAGGUGGGGAUGACGUCAAGUCAGCAUGGCCUUUAUGUCUGGGGCUACACACGUGCUACAAUGGCAGAUACAAACCGUCGCGAGACCGCAAGGUGGAGCUAAUCGGAGAAAGUCUGUCUCAGUUCGGAUCGCAGGCUGCAACUCGCCUGCGUGAAGUUGGAAUCGCUAGUAAUCGCGGAUCAGCACGCCG